rnacentral:misc_RNA from 1 species
CACCACUCAGAGGGGACUGCUAGGGCUCACAGUGGGCACAGCUGGACUGAAUCACUCGCACCGGGGACAACAGCGACACCCGCAGACGCACCCGUCACCUACUCACCCUCGCUCGACGAGCCGACAUUUUUACCCUCUCGCACCCGUUGAUCACCACAGAUGGGCGCGCUUGUAGGUGCAACGACAUCAGGACGACACACUUGACCGACUCGUCUCAAUCGGGUCGCCUCGAAGCACUGUUCUGACGCCGAAACCCGCCCUCUUCGACCUCGACGCCUCUCUUCCCUCGACCGCUGCCUCUUCAUUCGACGCUAUCGCCUUCUCUCUCACUGCCCAGCACACUCGCAGCAUCGCACAGAUUCAGCUCACUGCUCAACACCGUCCGAGCGCUCCUCAGCAGAAACAGAUCUCGUCUUCAAUGCUCCGAUUUGCACAAGCUUAGAUCCUGACGCAGAUACAGACGCUCUCGCAGCUAGCACAGACACAGAACCAAACACAGACACAGACACAGAAGCAGACCCAGACUCAGACGCAGACUCCGGUUCAAACGCAGACGUCCGCAGCUCCUCUCGCAAUGCACA